rnacentral:lncRNA from 1 species
CAGAGGCAGUGAGGCGCCAGCGCCGCGACCGCUGCGAGGUCAGCACGGCCAAAAACAGACAUAACUAAUGCAAAUGCUAAACAGGGCUAAAGGUGAAGAAUGGCCGCGUCUCCUGAGUCCUGAUGGAGUGACGCGAAACGGAGCUGUUCUGAGAAACGAGUGCAGGAUGAAUGUGUUAUCGGCUGUGCUAAUGGUGCUCGGGACGCAGAUAUCCGAGACCGGCACCCAACUUUGGGCUUCUCAGAGACUGGCCGAUCAAUCCUGCCAGCACGUCAAACAGAGAGCAGUGAUCGUAUCAUGCAUCAUCUCUGGAUCCUUUCUUCUAGAAAUACAAGAAGGAUGGAGGGAGAAAAGAGUAGGGAUAAACAGAAGGAGAGCGGCAGAGCGAGUAUCAGGUGUGAGCUCUGGCUCGACUGGCCCCAGGUACUGUUCUCUCGCUGCGGGGCCAGCUAUUAUUAUUAACAUCAUUUGUCUGUAUCAUUCGCCCGGCACCUUUGCUUUCAGCCGGCACUAUGAAGACGACAUGUUAAUAAACGAGUACAGCCGCCACUCUGCCAUCCGACCUGCUCCUCAUCCGCCGUCCCUCACCCUCCCCUCCCUUCCCAACAUCCCCAAAAGGGACGGGAUGCCGAUUUGUUUUCCAGCAGGCUCCCCCACUCCAUUGUUGUUUGCACUAAAGGGGACAAAUUCAAUUCAUUCUUAUGACAAGGAUGCACUGAUACAGGAAGAAAGAAGAAGAGGAGGAGAAGGAGGGGUAGAUGAAGAAAGAAACUGCCCAGGAGGGAACAAACAGCGAACACGGAAAAAAAAGAUAAAAAACCUAUAAAAAAAAGUUGCUGAAUUCGAGGUAUCGCAUAAAGAAGACAAGGAAAGAAAGGUGGAGAGUCUAGGGGGGGUUGGAGGAAGAUGGAUAAACCGGUUGCAUUUCUCAGAUGCGGAUUGAUGUGGUGGGCCGAUAACGUGGUCUCGGCGGACAUGGUCAUCUAGAGCUAGCAAGGAGAAAAAAAAUGUCUGCAUUCAAACAUACAGUACAUCCUCGGAAAGAAGGAGGUCUUGAGCUGUGAAAAAACA